rnacentral:rRNA from 1 species
UACGUAGGGCGCAAGCGUUAUCCGGAAUUAUUGGGCGUAAAGAGCUCGUAGGCGGUUUGUCGCGUCUGCCGUGAAAGUCCGGGGCUCAACUCCGGAUCUGCGGUGGGUACGGGCAGACUAGAGUGAUGUAGGGGAGACUGGAAUUCCUGGUGUAGCGGUGAAAUGCGCAGAUAUCGAGAGGAACACCUGCGGCGAAGGCGGGUUGCUGGGCUGACACUGACGCUGAUGCGCGAAAGCCAGGGGAGCGAACGGG